ACAUGCUGUGAGCUCGAUGAGUAGGGCGGGACACGUGGUAUCCUGUCUGAAUAUGGGGGGACCAUCCUCCAAGGCUAAAUACUCCUGACUGACCGAUAGUGAACCAGUACCGUGAGGGAAAGGCGAAAAGAACCCCGGCGAGGGGAGUGAAAAAGAACCUGAAACCGUGUACGUACAAGCAGUGGGAGCCUCUUUAUGGGGUGACUGCGUACCUUUUGUAUAAUGGGUCAGCGACUUAUAUUCUGUAGCAAGGUUAACCGAAUAGGGGAGCCGAAGGGAAACCGAGUCUUAACUGGGCGUUAAGUUGCAGGGUAUAGACCCGAAACCCGGUGAUCUAGCCAUGGGCAGGUUGAAGGUUGGGUAACACUAACUGGAGGACCGAACCGACUAAUGUUGAAAAAUUAGCGGAUGACUUGUGGCUGGGGGUGAAAGGCCAAUCAAACCGGGAGAUAGCUGGUUCUCCCCGAAAGCUAUUUAGGUAGCGCCUCGUGAAUUCAUCUCCGGGGGUAGAGCACUGUUUCGGCAAGGGGGUCAUCCCGACUUACCAACCCGAUGCAAACUGCGAAUACCGGAGAAUGUUAUCACGGGAGACACACGGCGGGUGCUAACGUCCGUCGUGAAGAGGGAAACAACCCAGACCGCCAGCUAAGGUCCCAAAGUCAUGGUUAAGUGGGAAACGAUGUGGGAAGGCCCAGACAGCCAGGAUGUUGGCUUAGAAGCAGCCAUCAUUUAAAGAAAGCGUAAUAGCUCACUGGUCGAGUCGGCCUGCGCGGAAGAUGUAACGGGGCUAAACCAUGCACCGAAGCUGCGGCAGCGACACUAAGUGUUGUUGGGUAGGGGAGCGUUCUGUAAGCCUGUGAAGGUGUACUGUGAGGUAUGCUGGAGGUAUCAGAAGUGCGAAUGCUGACAUAAGUAACGAUAAAGCGGGUGAAAAGCCCGCUCGCCGGAAGACCAAGGGUUCCUGUCCAACGUUAAUCGGGGCAGGGUGAGUCGACCCCUAAGGCGAGGCCGAAAGGCGUAGUCGAUGGGAAACAGGUUAAUAUUCCUGUACUUGGUGUUACUGCGAAGGGGGGACGGAGAAGGCUAUGUUGGCCGGGCGACGGUUGUCCCGGUUUAAGCGUGUAGGCUGGUUUUCCAGGCAAAUCCGGAAAAUCAAGGCUGAGGCGUGAUGACGAGGCACUACGGUGCUGAAGCAACAAAUGCCCUGCUUCCAGGAAAAGCCUCUAAGCAUCAGGUAACAUCAAAUCGUACCCCAAACCGACACAGGUGGUCAGGUAGAGAAUACCAAGGCGCUUGAGAGAACUCGGGUGAAGGAACUAGGCAAAAUGGUGCCGUAACUUCGGGAGAAGGCACGCUGAUAUGUAGGUGAAGCGACUUGCUCGUGGAGCUGAAAUCAGUCGAAGAUACCAGCUGGCUGCAACUGUUUAUUAAAAACACAGCACUGUGCAAACACGAAAGUGGACGUAUACGGUGUGACGCCUGCCCGGUGCCGGAAGGUUAAUUGAUGGGGUUAGCGGUAACGCGAAGCUCUUGAUCGAAGCCCCGGUAAACGGCGGCCGUAACUAUAACGGUCCUAAGGUAGCGAAAUUCCUUGUCGGGUAAGUUCCGACCUGCACGAAUGGCGUAAUGAUGGCCAGGCUGUCUCCACCCGAGACUCAGUGAAAUUGAACUCGCUGUGAAGAUGCAGUGUACCCGCGGCAAGACGGAAAGACCCCGUGAACCUUUACUAUAGCUUGACACUGAACAUUGAGCCUUGAUGUGUAGGAUAGGUGGGAGGCUUUGAAGUGUGGACGCCAGUCUGCAUGGAGCCGACCUUGAAAUACCACCCUUUAAUGUUUGAUGUUCUAACGUUGGCCCCUGAUCGGGGUUGCGGACAGUGUCUGGUGGGUAGUUUGACUGGGGCGGUCUCCUCCUAAAGAGUAACGGAGGAGCACGAAGGUUGGCUAAUCCUGGUCGGACAUCAGGAGGUUAGUGCAAUGGCAUAAGCCAGCUUGACUGCGAGCGUGACGGCGCGAGCAGGUGCGAAAGCAGGUCAUAGUGAUCCGGUGGUUCUGAAUGGAAGGGCCAUCGCUCAACGGAUAAAAGGUACUCCGGGGAUAACAGGCUGAUACCGCCCAAGAGUUCAUAUCGACGGCGGUGUUUGGCACCUCGAUGUCGGCUCAUCACAUCCUGGGGCUGAAGUAGGUCCCAAGGGUAUGGCUGUUCGCCAUUUAAAGUGGUACGCGAGCUGGGUUUAGAACGUCGUGAGACAGUUCGGUCCCUAUCUGCCGUGGGCGCUGGAGAACUGAGGGGGGCUGCUCCUAGUACGAGAGGACCGGAGUGGACGCAUCACUGGUGUUCGGGUUGUCAUGCCAAUGGCACUGCCCGGUAGCUAAAUGCGGAAGAGAUAAGUGCUGAAAGCAUCUAAGCACGAAACUUGC
rnacentral:rRNA from 1 species